AGGCGCGUAGCUCAGGGGGAGAGCACUUGCUUGACACGCAAGGGGUCAGCAGUUCAAAUCUGCUCGUGCCUACCA
rnacentral:tRNA from 3 species